rnacentral:rRNA from 1 species
CACGUAGGGUGCGAGCGUUGUCCGGAAUUAUUGGGCGUAAAGAGCUCGUAGGCGGUGUGUCGCGUCGGCCGUGAAAACCUGCAGCUCAACUGUGGGCUUGCGGUCGAUACGGGCAUCACUGGAGUUCGGCAGGGGAGACUGGAAUUCCUGGUGUAGCGGUGAAAUGCGCAGAUAUCAGGAGGAACACCGGUGGCGAAGGCGGGUCUCUGGGCCGAUACUGACGCUGAGGAGCGAAAGCAUGGGGAGCGAACAGG